rnacentral:lncRNA from 1 species
GUCAGGGCCUGCUCUCUCACAGAGAAGCCCCCUGAGAUGUUGAAUAGGUCAGUCAUCAGUACCAUGCAAUGCUAUCCAGGAAGAAAUUAUAUUUUUCAAGAUAACUACAUGCACACAGGCGAAUUCUGUACAGAGAUGAGAUCAGAUGAUCGAGAAGACAAUGGAACAGUCAAUCUCUCUUUUCUGCCGUUGAGUUCUCCUCUCCAAAUGAAAAGUUGAUUUCAAUUUAAAAGCAAGCCAUGAACCAUCUGUAGACUGCAAGCAAAGGAUCCUCAUGAGCUGCGUGUGCUUUAUGACACAUAUCCUUUAUUCAUAACAGUAAAUCAGAUUUCAACACAAAGAACUAUUCUAAACAGAAUAAAUAUGACAAACUUUAUGAGGUACA